GUUGGCAGCCAUAUCACCCUGUAGCCCAAGACUGGUUGCCCACUGAAGCUAAGCAGGGCUGAGCCUGGUCAGUACCUGGAUGGGAGACCUUCUGGGAAAACAAGGUUACUGUUGGAA
rnacentral:rRNA from 1 species